UACGAAGGUGGCAAGCGUUACUCGGAAUUACUAGGCGUAAAGGGCAGGUAGGUGGUUUUGUAAGUCUGUUGUGAAAGCUCCCGGCUUAACUGGGAGAGGUCAAUAGAUACUGCAGGACUUGAGUGUAGGAGAGGGUACUGGAAUUCCCGGUGUAGCGGUGAAAUGCGCAGAGAUCGGGAGGAACACCAAUGGCGAAAGCAGGUACCUGGACUAUUACUGACGCUAAGCUGCGAAAGCUAGGGGAGCAAAC
rnacentral:rRNA from 1 species